UCUUACAACCUAUCUUAGUUUUAGGACAAGGCUUUGAGAUUUAAGACAAAGCCUUAUCUGAUCCAAACAAAGGUUGUGAGGAUCCUAAAGAAGGAGAAUCAGAAGUUCAGAGGAAGUUCUAAGAGGAUCGAGUCAGAUUUUUAGAAAAACCUGACUGAUACAGGGCUAGUCGAGUUUUAGGGGCUAGAACUCUUGAAGCAAGGUGAAG
rnacentral:lncRNA from 1 species